rnacentral:rRNA from 1 species
GACGAACGCUGGCGGCGUGCCUAAUACAUGCAAGUCGAACGCUUUUUCUUUCACCGGAGCUUGCUCCACCGAAAGAAAAGGAGUGGCGGACGGGUGAGUAACACGUGGGUAACCUGCCCUAAAGUGGGGGAUAACAUUUGGAAACAGAUGCUAAUACCGCAUAAAUCUUGGAACCUCAUGGUUCCAAGCUGAAAGAUGGCGUAAGCUAUCGCUUUUGGAUGGACCCGCGGCGUAUUAGCUAGUUGGUGAGGUAAAGGCUCACCAAGGCGAUGAUACGUAGCCGACCUGAGAGGGUGAUCGGCCACAUUGGGACUGAGACACGGCCCAAACUCCUACGGGAGGCAGCAGUAGGGAAUCUUCCACAAUGGACGAAAGUCUGAUGGAGCAACGCCGCGUGAGUGAAGAAGGUUUUCGGAUCGUAAAACUCUGUUGUUGGAGAAGAACGUACGUGAGAGUAACUGUUCACGUAGUGACGGUAUCCAACCAGAAAGCCACGGCUAACUACGUGCCAGCCGCCGCUGUAACAC